GGGGCGGGAAAAGGGGAGGCAUUAAUUCGGAAUUGCUGGGCGUAAAAGCGCACGCAGGCGGUCUGUCAAGUCGGAUGUGAAAUCCCCGGGCUCAACCUGGGAACUGCAUUCGAAACUGGCAGGCUAGAGUCUUGUAGAGGGGGGUAGAAUUCCAGGUGUAGCGGUGAAAUGCGUAGAGAUCUGGAGGAAUACCGGUGGCGAAGGCGGCCCCCUGGACAAAGACUGACGCUCAGGUGCGAAAGCGUGGGGAGCAAACAGGAUUAGAUACCCUGGUAGUCCACGCCGUAAACGAUGUCGACUUGGAGGUUGUUCCCUUGAGGAGUGGCUUCCGGAGCUAACGCGUUAAGUCGACCGCCUGGGGAGUACGGCCGCAAGGUUAAAACUCAAAUGAAUUGACGGGGGCCCGCACAAGCGGUGGAGCAUGUGGUUUAAUUCGAUGCAACGCGAAGAACCUUACCUACUCUUGACAUCCAGAGAACUUAGCAGAGAUGCUUUGGUGCCUUCGGGAACUCUGAGACAGGUGCUGCAUGGCUGUCGUCAGCUCGUGUUGUGAAAUGUUGGGUUAAGUCCCGCAACGAGCGCAACCCUUAUCCUUUGUUGCCAGCGGUUCGGCCGGGAACUCAAGGAGACUGCCAGUGAUAAACUGGAGGAAGGUGGGAUGACGUCAAGUCAUCAUGGCCCUUACGAGUAGGGCUACACACGUGCUACAAUGGCAUAUACAAAGAGAAGCGACCUCGCGAGAGCAGCGGACCUCACAAAGUAUGUCGUAUCCGGAUCGGAGUCUGCAACUCGACUCCGUGAGUCGGAUCGCUAGUAAUCGUAGAUCAGAUGCUACGGUGAAUACGUUCCCGGGCUUGUACACACCGCCCGUCCCCCAUGGGAGUGGGUUGCAAAAAGAGGAGCUAACCUCCGGAGGGCGCUACCACUUUGUGAUUCUGACUGGGUGAGCCCCACACGGAACAACCCUCCCCCCUCCCC
rnacentral:rRNA from 1 species